GUCCGCCUGGCGAAAUGGCUAUCGCGUCAGACUUCUAUUAGCGCUGCGGAUAAUGGCAAUCUGAAGAUUGCGGGUUCGAGUCCCGCGGUGGAUU